rnacentral:pre_miRNA from 1 species
CGUGGUUGGUGGCUGAACUUAGAUUUUGAGUAUUCAAAUAAAAUAAAUCUGUUCAUUCCUCGACACAAGAA